rnacentral:rRNA from 1 species
AGUGAACGCUGGCGGUAGGCCUAACACAUGCAAGUCGAACGGCAGCACAGUAAGAGCUUGCUCUUACGGGUGGCGAGUGGCGGACGGGUGAGGAAUACAUCGGAAUCUACUUUUUCGUGGGGGAUAACGUAGGGAAACUUACGCUAAUACCGCAUACGACCUACGGGUGAAAGCAGGGGAUCUUCGGACCUUGCGCGAUUGAAUGAGCCGAUGUCGGAUUAGCUAGUUGGCGGGGUAAAGGCCCACCAAGGCGACGAUCCGUAGCUGGUCUGAGAGGAUGAUCAGCCACACUGGAACUGAGACACGGUCCAGACUCCGACGGGAGGCAGCAGUGUGGAAUAUUGGACAAUGGGCGCAAGCCUGAUCCAGCCAUACCGCGUGGGUGAAGAAGGCCUUCGGGUUGUAAAGCCCUUUUGUUGGGAAAGAAAAGCAGCAGGUUAAUACCCCGCUGUUCUGACGGUACCCAAAGAAUAAGCACCGGCUAACUUCGUG